CAAAAGCAAAAAGAAAUGACAGCAACUCUCAUCCUUGUCAGCAAGUAGAUGUCCACAAGCUUCAGCACCAGGCAAGACUGGAACCAGAGUCCACGAAGACCAUGCUGGCUCUCCCAGAGACUGGCCAAGAGAUUAGUUCACUCAACACAGUGACAUGGAGUUCAAGUAUAACACUAACAUUGAGUCUCCCAGUCCAUCUGAAACUCCUGGAGAAGGUGCUAACCCAAGACAGCAAGUGAAAGUGAUCAUAUAUGUGCACUCAGAAGAAGACUACCCACCUUUCUUUCUCAUCUGAGAUUCCCGGGACCCAGGGGGUGCAUUCACAUCACCUGUG